ACCUGUCAAAAAAAUGCCGGCGUGUUGUUCCAGAGCUGGGAUCCACUUGUGGUUCAAGAAAGUCCCAGUUUAAUUAAUCAUCUACCAUCCUCAUGCUUGGACAUACAUUUUCUUGGAUUGCUUUAGAGCAUCGCGAAAAUGGGUACCCGAAGAUCAAGUUCCGGAGGGGGCCGCGGAAACGCUGGAGUGCUCAAAGAGAGAGCAAAUAUGUCAUUCAUGCUCGUUGUCAUGUUUUUUGCUGUAUUUGGAGUAAUAGUUCUAACGGAAAUUUUUCUGAUAGACGAAAGACAUGGAUCCAAUGUAGGAAAUACUGGAGCCCUUGGGGGCCACCGCAGUGGACAUCGAUUAGCGGCAGCACCUGAUCGGCCAGAUUACGAAGAAGUGGGAGCUGAAGAUUAUACCGGACUAAAGGGUGGCUUCGAUGACCACGUCGGCUUGUUGGUCCAUGGUGAGGGUGGCGAAGGCAAAAAAGCUGUGAUUCCUCCAGAUCCUCGAGCUUUGCCGAGCUUACCCCCCGGCUUAGAAGCUCGUCUCCCGCGACUCGAUCAGAGCUUACGAGUUACGCAUGCUGAAUGGCUUCCAGUCACGAACACCAGAUUUAAAUUUUUCGUGUAUUCGGCGUACUUCGACGACAGAAUAGUGGGUGGAGUUGCAAAUCGAGGCAGCCCAGGAUUAGUUCGAGUAAUUGGUGCUACCAAAACAAGAAGUCCCGAGCGAGUUUGGUGUCGUCUUUGGUAUCCUCAGCAAAAUGCAAAUAUCACAUCUUCUAUCACAGUUCCUGCAAAAGUCAAGGUAAUUCGAGAAAAUUGGAAUCUGAAGUACAGCGCUUGCUUCGUGAUAUGUCCAAUACCAAAAGAUUCUUCAUCAAAAGUGAAAAUACCAGAGACUGUCAGUAUAGUUGCUCGACUUCGAGCACAACCCACAAAUCGAAUUUUGGUUCAAAAUCGACCUAUCGAGAGACCUGUAGAGAAAAAGCCACUGGCUAUUUGCGUCAAGCCUCUACAUUAUGAUUACAAUAGAGUUUUGCAAUUAGUGGAGUUUAUUGAGCUGUACAGGCUCCUGGGUGGCACUCAUGUAACUCUCUACAAUGAUACGGUGGGUCCGGAUGCUGGAUGUGCACUGAGGUAUUACGAGCAAAAAGGGUACGUUACCCUCCUCCCUUGGCAUCAUCUGGAUAUGAUCUCUCAGAGGGAAAUUCGUACCGAAGGACUAUUUGCUGCAUUAAACGACUGCCUUUAUCGAUCGAUGUACACAUUCGAAUACGUCGCUCUGGUGGAUCUGGAUGAAUUCAUCAUCCCCAGGCAUGAUGAUACAAUAGUCGAGCUUAUACGGUGGAUGGGAACUCGCAUCAGCACAAAAUCUACAGGGGCUUUUUCAUUCCAAAAUGCCUUUUUCUACCUCCAGUGGGCAGAUGAUCCUUACGUCUCAACAAGCCGAAAUCCCAUAGAAUCUGGUCUCAUCACUCUGAGAAAAACAAGACGUCGAUCAAAACUCCAUCCUCAUAAACAGAGAUCAAAAUACGUCUGCAAACCUAGAGAAGUGGUCGAAGCUGGAAACCACUUCGUUUGGGAAUUUAUUCCAGGACAUGGAACAGUCAAUGUUCCGUCUGAUGCUGCAAUUUUACACCACUAUCGUGUUUGCGAAUUCGGUGGAGACGAUUGUAUCAAAACGCAGUCCCUGGUCGACAGAUCGGCCUAUAAAUAUUUGGAAAAACUGGCCGAGAAUGUUGACAAGACUUGGAAGGGAUUAAAUAAGGAGUGCCCUCUACCGGACUUAAAAAUGCCACUGGAAUCUGCGAAGAUCAAGACAAAUCAUUUUGAAAAGACAGAAAGGUAGCGAAAAACCUUAUUUGAAGAUACCUUUUGGAUUAUCGCUAACUUCACUGGUACACCUAAGAAGAGGUCGACUUUGUAAGAACGGUUUGUGAAACACGAGUCGAUAAUAUUUUUCUAUGAAACGGAACCUAGGAUGAAAUUUGAAUCCGAUUAAAAGGCCUCAAGGCGAUUACGUUUUUCACUCUGGUGCUUCUUUAUUUUUACGACUUUAUAUAAACGUAUAUAGGUAUUUUCUGCCACUUGUAUGACAAGAUCGUCAUUUUCUGAAAGGAAUUACUCUUUAGGUCCUAAGCUUUGGUCGAUAAGGUACAUUUGUAAAUGAUGUAUUCUGAUCUAUUUUUCGUUUUGUGUAUUUUAAACGACUUUAUAACGUAAGUGUUCACACUCACGCAUAUCUAUAGGAUCGGACAUAAGCGUAGUUUAUUUGUAUGUGUACUGUAAAGUUAGAUUUUAAUGUAGUUAAGUUAAGCUAAUCAUAGGAAUUAGUUAAGGGUGCUUGAAAUUAAACUUUUUGAAGACUUUUUCGAAAAUACUGAAUUCGCUUAAGCAUAAUCUUCUAUGCCUAAGAGAACAAAUACAAAAUUCAUUAGAAACUCGAUUGGACAAAUUCAUAUCAAAUUUACUUGGGAAAUUUAUUUCAUUUUUCAUAGAGUUAAAAGAAAUGUUUUUAGGGGCCAAGAAUUAUUUAUGUGAAUAAAAUAUUGCUUUUUAAUUUUAGUAUAAUUUGCUUGUUUCUAUUUCUCAUAUUUUUAUUGUGUAUGUUUUGACUUUUAGAGUAUAAAUUUGAUCUUCGAAUUUGGUGUAAUCGAAAUUAAAAACAAUAUGAUUGUAUAUAAGAGAAGGUAGAAAUUUUGAGAAAAAUAAUGUUGCUACUGUACAUAUCAAAUACACGUAAUUUAUAAUCAUCAGGGCCCUGUAAAACUUAUCCGAUUCCUAGUUUACAGAAGUCGGCAAAGCAGAAAUCAGGUAAUUAUUACAUGGCAUUAAUAUAUUUAUAAUUUAUAAUGAUGCCGAAUGAAAGCAGUAUUAUUUUUAUUUAAGACAGCAGUAUAUUCAAUUAAUUUUACUUAUAAGAGAAUGCAGAAAGGCUGAUUGCGAAAACAAUUCAAUCGAUUGUAUAGA